rnacentral:rRNA from 1 species
GCUUAACACAUGCAAGUCGAACGAGGUCCAUGGAGUAGCAAUACCCCGGAAGACCUAGUGGCGAACGGGUGCGUAACACGUGAGGAACUUGUCCCGGUCUCUGGGCUAACAGUUGGAACCGACUGCUAAUACCGGAUGACGUCGGAGCGUCGCAUGGCCCGCUGCCGAAAGGGUUACUGGAUCGGGAGAGCCUCGCGGCCUAUCAGCUUGUUGGGGGGGUAACGGCCUACCAAGGCAUCGACGGGUAGCUGGUCUGAGAGGAUGAACAGCCACACUGGGACUGAGACACGGCCCAGACUCCUACGGGAGGCAGCAGUGGGGAAUUUUCCGCAAUGGGCGAAAGCCUGACGGAGCAACGCCGCGUGAGGGAGGAAGGUCUUUGGAUUGUAAACCUCUUUUCUCAAGGAAGAAGUUCUGACGGUACUUGAGGAAUCAGCCUCGGCUAACUCCGUGCCAGCAGCCGCAGUAAAAC